rnacentral:rRNA from 1 species
CGUAGGUGGCAAGCGUUGUCCGGAAUUAUUGGGCGUAAAGCGCGCGCAGGCGGUUCCUUAAGUCUGAUGUGAAAGCCCCCGGCUCAACCGGGGAAGGUCAUUGGAAACUGGGGAACUUGAGUGCAGAAGAGAAGAGCGGAAUUCCACGUGUAGCGGUGAAAUGCGUAGAGAUGUGGAGGAACACCAGUGGCGAAGGCGGCUCUUUGGUCUGUAACUGACGCUGAGGCGCGAAAGCGUGGGGAGCAAACAGGAUUAGAUACCCUGGUAGUCCACGCCGUAAACGAUGAGUGCUAAGUGUUAGAGGGUUUCCGCCCCUUAGUGCUGCAGCUAACGCAUUAAGCACUCCGCCUGGGGAGUACGGCCGCAAGGCUG